rnacentral:rRNA from 1 species
AGUGAACGCUGGCGGCAGGCCUAACACAUGCAAGUCGAACGGCAGCACGGGCUUCGGUCUGGUGGCGAGUGGCGAACGGGUGAGUAAUGUAUCGGAACGUACCUUUCAGUGGGGGGAUAACGUAGCGAAAGUUACGCUAAUACCGCAUAUUCUGUGAGCAGGAAAGCAGGGGAUCGCAAGACCUUGCGCUGAUUGAGCGGCCGAUAUCAGAUUAGCUAGUUGGUGAGGUAAAGGCUCACCAAGGCGACGAUCUGUAGCGGGUCUGAGAGGAUGAUCCGCCACACUGGAACUGAGACACGGUCCAGACUCCUACGGGAGGCAGCAGUGGGGAAUUUUGGACAAUGGGGGCAACCCUGAUCCAGCCAUGCCGCGUGAGUGAAGAAGGCCUUCGGGUUGUAAAGCUCUUUCGGCCGGGAAGAAAUCGUAUGGGUUAAUACCCUGUGCGGAUGACGGUACCGGCAUAAGAAGCACCGGCUAACUACGUGCCAGCCGCCGCCGUAA